GUUAAUGAGGAAACUGGAUUUGGCUGGUCAAGGCCCUUCACACUUAUGUGGUCUGUCAAAACCACUUCUUGCCCCAGAGAAUCCAUCAGAUCAACCUUAUUAAAAGAAAUAUGUGCCCUCUCAGUGUAAACAGAGUUUUCCACACGUUGUCCCUCUGUUUACCCACUCUUGCUCUUCCUGUUGUUAGUGUUUGAAAAGGCGGAUUUUGUCUCCGGCUUGAAACAUCCUUUCUCUUGCCUUCCUGUAGGAAAAGGGAGGAGGAAAGAGGGUCGACGAAGACCACCCACCCUUCCUCUCGCGAGGCACAAUACGAGCAGGCUGUCCGCCUUGCAACCCCCAAGGCCCGUACCAGGAGCUCCCAGGAAGUGAGCCCUCCUCAUACAUUGUGGUGUGAGUACAGUUGCCCUGUGUGGCACAUCAGCCCUGUGGUGCAGAACCCUGUCGUCUCUCCACGUGUCCUCCAACUCGCCCGCCCCAAAACUACGCACCCCGACUUCAGGAGCAACCGCCAGACAGUAGAAACACACGUAUCAUAUGCCUCAAAAACAGCUCGGACCACCCCCAGACUGGAGCAGUUGUGUUUGCCCAAACUCCGAGAGAGCAGCCUGUUCUACCAGCGCGGCAAGCCGGAGAGCCCCAUCUGGCCUGUGUCCAGAGGAGCAAAGAAGGCCACUGCAAGCGCUCGUGUGAGAGAACUGUCCACUCCAAAGACCCUCUCUAAGGACUACAUCCCUCCACGAGACCUGCGCUGCCUCUGAGCCAGAGAGAGAGAGAGAUAGAGGAAAGAAAGAUAGAAAGAGGGAUAAAGAUGUAGAUACAAAGGGAGAGAGAGAUAAACAGAGAGAGAGAGAUAAGAGGGAGAAAAAGAGAGAGAUGAAGGGAGGGAGAUGGAGAGAGAGACAGAGAGACAAAGAGAAAGUGAAUUAGAGAGAGAGAGAGAAGGGAAAGAGAGUUAAAGAGAGAGACAAAGAAAAAAAAGUUAAAAAGAGAGACAAAGGGGGAACAUUGAAAAGAGACAAGGGGAGAGAGAGAGAGACAAGGGGGAGGAGAGAAAGAGAGAUGAAGUGAGGGAGAGAGAUAUGAACAUGGAGAAAGGAAAAUAAAGAAACAAGGGGAGAGAAAGACUUAAAGAGAGAGACAAAGGUAGAGAGUGAGAGAGAGAGAGAGAGAGAGACAGACGACAAUUCAACAGAACAUUUGUGGAGUGGUUAAAUAAUAGAUUGAGAGGAGAAAAAAGAAACAGAUUAAAUAACCAGAAUGAAAAGCGUUGAAAUGGUUUGCGUGUGUUAUUAUAUUUAUCUUGUUCUCUCUUUUCUUCCCUUUCUUUCCUUUCCUGGUUUUACAAUCG
ensembl:lncRNA